GUUCCCGGCUCGGCUCUGGCAGCCCCAGCUCGGCACUUGGCAGCUCUGUCCCUAAGGCGACGCACCUGGGCUGCUCUGCUGGCAGCCCCUGGUUCCUGCUUCACCGUCGCGUGGAGGCCUGGGGCACUGCUUUCUGCUACACCUCUCCUAGGAGCGCGAAACAGAUGGAGUGACACUCGUCGAGGGCCUCUGCGGGACUGUCUGUUUGCAGAGGGUGCCAAGGUGUCCACUGCGUAAGGAAGGGCAAAGUCCUUUGGGGCAAAGAACCCUGAGAGGAACGGGGAGAUGGAUUUUGAAAGCAAACGAACCCUCUCCUAAAAGUGACUGUCACUGACCUGAAAACAACCAGAUUAGCUAUGGCAAAGGCUGCCAACCAACCAGUGGUCUGCAAGAAGGCUUGUUCUUCCACUUCACCCACCCUGACUGAGAUCUUGAGACUGAAGGAAACCCAAAGCCGUACCACCAAUGGGCCUAGUGUCAUCAACCGGGAGAGGAAAAAGAAAACUGGGCCCAGAGGAUUGCAGAGUUAUGAGGGACCAACCCCUUCCUGGCUGCAUGGAUCACAGCAUUACCUUUUAAAAGUGUUCCAGUAGCUGUGUUGGAAACCCUCUAACCACGGCAGCCCAUUCAGGUGAUGAACAGGCUGAAAUCAGUACUUCAGGUUCAGCUGGAUUAUCAAAUAAGCGAAUAGGAUUAUCUCUUUUUGUUAACUCAGGGCUGCUAUAAAUUAAGCCUAUGUCUCUUUAUAUUGCAAAUGAUUAAAACCAUGUCCAAGAGAGACAUACUUAGAAAAAAAGUGAUAUUGAAGAAAAAUAAGUAACUGUAUUAGAGUAGAAUAACUGGUUUUAAAAUUUUCUGCAAUACAGUCUUGAGAAAAUUCCUGGAUGGUAAAAUACAUAUUAGAUCUUAAUACAUGCCCAGUUUUUUUUGAAACCAAAAUGUGCCUGUUAGAUGAUGAUAACAGCAUGCCUCGUUUUAUUGUGAUUUGCUUUAUUGCUCUUCACAGACAUUGCUUUUGUUUUUUUGUUUUUUUUUUUUACAAAUUGAAGGUUUGUGGCAACCUUGCCUCAAGCACAUCUAUUGGUGCCAUUUUUCCAACAGCAUGUGCUCACUUUGUGUCUCUGUGUCACAUAAUAUUCAAUAAUUUUUGCAAUAUUUAAAUUUGUUCAUCAUUAUUAUAUCUGGUAUAGUGCUUUGUGAUCAAUGAUCUUUGAUGUUACUAUGGUAAUUGUUUUGGGGUGCUGAUAUGGUUUGGCUGUGUCCCCACCCAAAUCUCAACUUGAACUGUAUCUCCCAGAAUUCCCACGUGUUGAGGGAGAGACCUAGGGGGAGAUAAUUGAAUCAUGGGGGCCAGUCUUUCCUGUGCUAUUCUCAUGAUAGUGAAUAAGUCUCAUGAAAUCCGAUGGGUUUAUCUGGGGUUUCUGAUUUUGCUUCUUCCUCAUUUUUCUCUUGCUGCAGCCAUGUAAGCAAGUACCUUUCACCUCCCGCCAUGAUUCUGAGGCCUCCCCCGCCAUGUGGAACUGUAGGUCCAAUUAAACUUCUUUUUCUUCCCA
ensembl:lncRNA novel transcript